rnacentral:rRNA from 1 species
UACGGAAGGCAGCAGUGGGGAAUAUUGCACAAUGGGCGAAAGCCUGAUGCAGCUAUGCCGCGUGUAUGAAGAAGGCCUUAGGGUUGUAAAGUACUUUCAUCGGGGAGGAAAAAACAAAACUAAUAAUUUUAUUUCUUGACGUUACCCGAAAAAGAAGCACCGGCUAACUCCGUGCCAGCAGCCGCGGUAAUACGGAGGGUGCUAGCGUUAAUCAGAAUUACUGGGCGUAAAGAGCACGUAGGUGGUUUUUUAAGUCAGAUGUGAAAUCCCUGGGCUUAACCUGGAACUGCAUUUUGAAACUGAAAUACUAGAGUAUCGUAGAGGGAGGUAGAAUUCUAGGUGUAGCGGUGAAAUGCGUAGAUAUCUGGAGGAAUACCUGUGGCGAAAGCGGCCUCCUAAACCGAUACUGACACUGAGGUGCGAAAGCGUGGGGAGCAAACGAGGGAUUAGAUACC